rnacentral:lncRNA from 1 species
AUUGGAACGCGCCAAGAAAGUAGAAGGAUCCCAUGCACAAAUAGACCAUCCGGACAAAAUGCGCGGAUCCUCCGUGGGCGCGGGUCGGGUCACAUUCGGGUCAAAUGAAACGGUGCCGUUUCAGCACUUAGACCACCCACCCAAAACGCUGUCGUUUUGUGAGUGUAUAUAAGGCCCAAUUUUUGUUACAAAAAUCAUUUUAGCCUUCAAAAUAAUAAAAAAACUGAAACAAUCCCUUAAACUCUCUCUCCCUCCUCCAUUUUCUCAUUUCGGCUAGGGCUUUAACACCCAUCAUCGCCGCCAUCGUCGUGGCCUUUUGUGGCCGCCGUAGUUCCCACCGUAGACGGUGGUUAAGGGUAUGCGAAAAGGGGCUUUCCACCUCUGUUCAAGGCGUCCAAGAGUUUAUGAGGAUAGACCCCUUUUUAUUUCCCUUUUGAAUCGGUCUCAAUCACGGAGCAGAGGCUCCGGCGACGCGAUUCCAGGCUUCGGUAAGUCCCCUCCCUUCUCUUUAUUUCUAUUUAUUUUCGGAUGUCUAAAGAAAUAAAAAUCAAAAGAAAACAGAAUAUAUGAAUUUUAGAACUUAAAACGAAAAUGGAAACGAAAUCAACCUUUUAGUUUUCUUGCUAUUAUGUUUGCUUAAUGUCUCCCCCUUUUACAAUCGGUUUCUUUUUUUAAUUCGAAAAAAAAACCCCCUUACAAAUGAUAGAUUUUGGCUUUUUAAAGCCGAUCUACCAAACAUUCAUUCCAUAUUUUUUUGUUUUUGUUCCUUUGUUUAUUUUUUUUCCAUCAUUCGCAUGCUUUCUCUUGCUGUUGUUUUUGUCUCUGUUGCAGGUGCCAUGCGACGCGUGGAAGAGGCGACGGUCAGGGCAUGCAUGGGAGGAGCGACGGCUGCAAUGCUUUGGUGGCUAGGGUUCUUUUUUAGCAGAAAAUAUUUUGUGGGCUAGGGUUUCUAAGCUUUUAGGUUUAUUGGGCUUCUUUUGGGUUUUAAAAUUUUUUUGGCUGGUGUGGGUUUUGCAAAUAGACAUUUAUUUUAUUUGGGUUUUGUUACUUUAAUGGGUUUGGGCAAUUUGUCUUGGGUUGUUUAACAUUGUAAAUGGACUUGAAAGUUGGUUAUGUGGAUUUUAUUUUUUGGCUUAUUUGUUUGGGCCAAAAUUGGCCAUUAUAAUUUAGAAUGGAAGUAUCAAUUUGUUGGAGAGAAAAAAUAAAAUAGUGGAGAUUCAAUUUAAGUUAAACAUCGUAUCAG